CGUGUAGGCGGGUCUGUAAGUCAGAUGUGAAAUGCCGCAGCUUAACUGCGGAGCUGCAUUUGAAACUGCGGAUCUUGAGUGAUGGAGAGGUAAACGGAAUUCCCGGUGUAGCGGUGAAAUGCGUAGAGAUCGGGAGGAACACCAGUGGCGAAGGCGGUUUACUGGACAUUAACUGACGCUGAGGCGCGAAAGCGUGGGGAGCAAACAGGAUUAGAUACCCUGGUAGUCCACGCUGUAAACGAUGGAUACUAGGUGUGGGGGGACUGACCCCUUCCGUGCCGGAGUUAACACAAUAGGUAUCCCACCUGGGGAGUACGGUCGCAAGAUUAAA
rnacentral:rRNA from 1 species